UGGGGAAUAUUGGACAAUGGGCGAAAGCCUGAUCCAGCCAUGCCGCGUGUGUGAAGAAGGUCUUCGGAUUGUAAAGCACUUUAAGUUGGGAGGAAGGGCGGUAAGCGAAUACCUUGCUGUUUUGACGUUACCGACAGAAUAAGCACCGGCUAACUCUGUGCCAGCAGCCGCGGUAAUACAGAGGGUGCAAGCGUUAAUCGGAAUUACUGGGCGUAAAGCGCGCGUAGGUGGUUCGUUAAGUUGAAUGUGAAAGCCCCGGGCUCAACCUGGGAACUGCAUCCAAAACUGGCGAGCUAGAGUAGGGCAGAGGGUGGUGGAAUUUCCUGUGUAGCGGUGAAAUGCGUAGAUAUAGGAAGGAACACCAGUGGCGAAGGCGACCACCUGGGCUCAUACUGACACUGAGGUGCGAAAGCGUGGGGAGCAAACAGG
rnacentral:rRNA from 1 species